AUCUACCAUUGCCUGAUAUUAUAUUUCCUACAUUAAAUGGCAAAUUAGUCGAACAAGAGACAUUAGAAACUGCAGAUGAAUUCAAGGAUCACUUUGCUGAUAUAGAAUUAGAUGACGAAUUCGCAGAUGAUGAUUAUAAUGAAUCUGAAUAUGAUGAUGAAAA